AACGAACGCUGGCGGUAUGCUUAACACAUGCAAGUCGAACGGGUGUAGCAAUACAUCAGUGGCAAACGGGUGAGGAAUGUAGAGGAAUCUCCCCAGCAGUAAGGAAUAACUUUGGGAAACCAAAGCUAAUGCCAUAUAUCACCGGUUUAUCGGGAAAGAUUUAUCGCUGUUGGAUGAGCCUCUAUCGGAUUAGCUAGUUGGUAGGGUAAUGGCCUACCAAGGCAAUGAUCCGUAGCUGGUCUUAGAGGAUGAUCAGCCACACUGGAACUGAGACACGGUCCAGACUCCUACGGGAGGCAGCAGUGGGGAAUAUUGGACAAUGGGCGCAAGCCUGAUCCAGCAAUACCGCGUGAGUGAUGAAGGUCUUCGGAUUGUAAAGCUCUUUUAGUGGAGAAGAUAAUGACGGUAUCCACAGAAAAAGCACCGGCAAACUUCGUGCCAGCCGCCGCCGUAA
rnacentral:rRNA from 1 species